rnacentral:rRNA from 1 species
UGGUUGGACGAGGUAAUAGCUGUCUUUAUUUAAUGUAUAUUAGAAUUUAACUUUUAAGUUAAAAGGCUUAAAUUUAAUUGAUAGACGAGAAGACCCUAUAGAUCUUUAUUUAUAAAGUUAUGAGUUGGAUUUGGAUUAAUUUAAAGUUUGUAACUCUAUGAAUUUUAUUGGGGUAAUAUAAAGAUUAAGAAAAUUCUUUGAAUAGAUUGAACAAUGAUGAUUGACAAAUUGAUCCAUUAGUAUUGAUUAGAAGAUUAAGUUAC